GGGGAGAGAAACAAGUGUGAGGAGUCGGUCGGAAGAGGACGCGGAGGAGCCCGCCGCGUCUCUGAAGUUGCUGGCCCCCCUCGCGUGAAGAAACUAGUUCAAAAUUAGAUGUACUAUUAGAGACAUGAAGUCAGAAAACUUUGUCAAGACCAUGAAGACACUUUGAAUCCACAAAUCACAGAGGAGAAAGAAUAUGCCACCAAACUAGCACCUCAAAGAGCUUCUCUGUUUCCCUCAGAAAUUGAAUCUCUUGCAUAUAUUUCUUUAUUGCCAACUAAGCUAUACAUACAUAUAUACAUUUAUUUAUUGUUUAUUGCCUAUCAAUCUGAUAUCUAAAGAUGAGAAGCUUUAUCCAUUAGUAUUUUUUCCUCUCAAUGUAAGGUUUUGUAACAUGUAAUUUUGGAGUGUAACUUCCAGAAAAUCCCUAAAAUUUACCUGAAAAUUAAAUAUUUCAAUAUCACAUAACAGAACAAUUAUUAAAGCUAAUAAUUUUCUUGUUUUUUGAUAUCUUAAAAUGUAUAAUUGUAUAAUUUAUAAUGUAUAAUUUAAAUUUCUCUUUAUUCUUGCUUUUCCAUUAUGAAAUAAAGAGCAUAAAACAGUA